CAACCUGCCCAUCACUUGGGGAUAACCUUGCGAAAGUAAGACUAAUACCCAAUGAUAUCUCUAGAAGACAUCUGAAGGAGAUUAAAGAUUUAUCGGUGAUGGUUGGGGAUGCGUCUGAUUAGCUUGUUGGCGGGGUAACGGCCCACCAAGGCGACGAUCAGUAGGGGUUCUGAGAGGAAGGUCCCCCACAUUGGAACUGAGACACGGUCCAAACUCCUACGGGAGGCAGCAGUGAGGAAUAUUGGUCAAUGGGCGAGAGCCUGAACCAGCCAAGUAGCGUGCAGGAUGACGGCCCUAUGGGUUGUAAACUGCUUUUAUAAGGGAAUAAAGUGAGUCUCGUGAGGCUUUUUGCAUGUACCUUAUGAAUAAGGACCGGCUAAUUCCGUGCCAGCAGCCGCGGUAAUACGGAAGGUCCGGGCGUUAUCCGGAUUUAUUGGGUUUAAAGGGAGCGUAGGCCGGAGAUUAAGCGUGUUGUGAAAUGUAGAUGCUCAACAUCUGCACUGCAGCGCGAACUGGUUUCCUUGAGUACGCACAAAGUGGGCGGAAUUCGUGGUGUAGCGGUGAAAUGCUUAGAUAUCACGAAGAACUCCGAUUG
rnacentral:rRNA from 1 species